GCCGGCUCCAGCCUUGGCCAGCCCAGGAAGGCGCUCCCACAGUGCAGCGGCGGGCUGAAGGGCUCCUCAAGGGCCGCCAAAGUGGGAGCCCAGGCAGAAGAGGCGCCGAGAGCGAGCAAGGGCUGUGAGGGCUGCCAGCAAGCUGUCACUUCUCGCUUUCAAUUAAGGAAAAAAAAGUGCUGAACUUGUGCCGGUUCAAGCUAGUUCAAGGCUUGGGUAUGUCCUUAUCAGCAGCAUGAAAAUGGACUAAUACAAAUAUGCUGAGUUAAGUCCUGGACAAGAAACACUUUGCCAACCUCUGGACUAGACUGAGUAAAGCAAGCAGAAAGAUCCAAUUUUAAAAAGAGGUGAGGAAAAUGGGACAACUUGGCUAUGGAGAGAGCAAGAAGAAUGCAACUGAUGUGCACAAAGUUUGAAGACAAAGUUACUCAGUUUAGAUCAGGGGUCCACAACCCCCAGCCAUGGACCAGUACUGAUUUGUGGCCUGUUAGGAACUCAGUUGCAGUAGGAGGUGAAUGCCAGUGAUUUGCGUUGAUUGAAAAGAUGAUAGAGUUGCCUGAUGCAUUCUGAGACCCAUGCAGGUAAAUGUCUACACAUGUGGAUGGGAAUUCAAGAGUCCGUUGAGCCCCA
rnacentral:lncRNA from 10 species